CCAGACUCCUACGGGAGGCAGCAGUGGGGAAUAUUGCACAAUGGGGGAAACCCUGAUGCAGCGACGCCGCGUGAAGGAAGAAGUAUUUCGGUAUGUAAACUUCUAUCAGCAGGGAAGAAAAUGACGGUACCUGACUAAGAAGCCCCGGCUAACUACGUGCCAGCAGCCGCGGUAAUACGUAGGGGGCAAGCGUUAUCCGGAUUUACUGGGUGUAAAGGGAGCGUAGACGGCGGUGCAAGCCAGAUGUGAAAGCCCGGGGCUCAACCCCGGGACUGCAUUUGGAACUGUGCUGCUAGAGUGUCGGAGAGGCAGGCGGAAUUCCUGGUGGAGCGGUGAAAUGCGUAGAUAUCAGGAGGAACACCGGUGGCGAAGGCGGCCUGCUGGACUGCGACUGACGUUGAGGCCCGAAAGCGUGGGGAGCAAACAGGAUUAGAUACCCGCGUAC
rnacentral:rRNA from 1 species